GCAAGGAACUGGUCGCUCAUUCCAGCGAUUAUCUCGACGGCCAAAUGACGUUGCGUCAGCGCCUGGCGGUGCGUGCGCACCUGGCCAUGUGCGGCAACUGUCGGCGUUUCAUCCGCCAGAUGAAACUGACCCAGGCGGUGAUCCGGCAGAUGCCGGAUGAGGAGUUACCCGAACUCGACGCCCUGGCCGAGCGCCUGGCGCAGAAUCGGCGUAAUCAAGGAUGAACCGUGAUCCUAGGGUUUGGUU
rnacentral:sRNA from 1 species